CUGUGAGACAGGUGCUGCAUGGCUGUCGUCAGCUCGUGUUGUGAAAUGUUGGGUUAAGUCCCGCAACGAGCGCAACCCUUAUCCUUUGUUGCCAGCGGUUAGGCCGGGAACUCAAAGGAGACUGCCAGUGAUAAACUGGAGGAAGGUGGGGAUGACGUCAAGUCAUCAUGCCCUUACGACCAGGGCUACACACGUGCUACAAUGGCAUAUACAAAGAGAAGCGACCUCGCGAGAGCAAGCGGACCUCAUAAAGUAUGUCGUAGUCCGGAUUGGAGUCUGCAACUCGACUCCAUGAAGUCGGAAUCGCUAGUAAUCGUAGAUCAGAAUGCUACGGUGAAUACGUUCCCGGGCCUUGUACACACCGCCCGUCACACCAUGGGAGUGGGUUGCAAAAGAAGUAGGUAGCUUAACCUUCGGGAGGGCGCUUACCACUUUGUGAUUCAUGACUGGGGUGAAGUCGUAACAAGGUAACCGUAGGGGAACCUGCGGUUGGAUCACCUCCUUACCUUAAAGAA
rnacentral:rRNA from 1 species